UACGAACUGUGCAAACGUUAUUCGGAAUCACUGGGCUUACAGGGUGCGUAGGCGGCUUGCUAAGUAGGGUGUGAAAGCCCCCGGCUUAACCGGGGAAUGGCGCCCUAAACUGGCGAGCUGGAGUGAGAUAGGGGUGUGCGGAACUUCCGGUGGAGCGGUGAAAUGCGUAGAUAUCGGAAGGAACACCAGUGGCGAAAGCGGCUUCCUGGUCCAGCACCGACGUUCAGGCACGAAAGCGUGGGGAGCAAACAGG
rnacentral:rRNA from 1 species